GACGAACGCUGGCGGCGUGCUUAACACAUGCAAGUCGAACGGAAAGGCCCCUUUGGGGGUACUCGAGUGGCGAACGGGUGAGUAACACGUGAGUAACCUGCCCUUGACUUCGGGAUAACUUCAGGAAACUGGGGCUAAUACCGGCUAGGAAUCCUUGCUGCAUGGUGGGGGUUGGAAAGCUUCGGCGGUUUUGGAUGGGCUCGCGGCUUAUCAGCUUGUUGGUGGGGUAGUGGCUUACCAAGGCUUUGACGGGUAGCCGGCCUGAGAGGGCGACCGGCCACAUUGGGACUGAGAUCCGGCCCAGACUCCUACGGGAGGCAGCAGUGGGGAAUAUUGCACAAUGGGCGGAAGCCUGAUGCAGCAACGCCGCGUGCGGGAUGACGGCCUUCGGGUUGUAAACCGCUUUCAGCAGGGGCGAAGCUUGUGGUGACGGUACCUGCAGAAGAAGCACCGGCUAACUACGUG
rnacentral:rRNA from 1 species